GAGGGGGGAGCUUGGAUCUUCAGUGCCAUAGUUGGAAGACAGAAUGGCUAUUCAAGCAGAAUGACAACGUCACUGAAGUCAAAAGCCAAGCAGAGCAAGCAGCGGAGGAAAGCAGUUAUAGAGGCCACUUUCCAAUCAGAAAAGUAUUUGGAGCAGAACGUUGGCAGACUUCAGAUAUAGACAAGCUGGUAUGGAAACUGGCUCUCCUUCAGCAAUUUGGGUCCAAAAGCAUUUUAGAGCUCUAAAGAUUUGGGCAGAAAGCAAAGAAAGCCAAGCCCAGCAGCCUUUUGGGGUAAAGGGGCCUCAGGGACCUCUGCCUCAGCUUGUUGAAGCCUAGUAGCACAGUUUUAAACUUAUCUACUCAAAGCUCAUCCCUACUGAGUUCGACUGGAUGUUCCUCCAACGUAAUUUGGCUGUUACAGCCCAAAGAACACACAGAAUGGAGUUCCGGCACCUUUUUUGGAUGAAACCAUGUAGGGUAGGCAAGGCGGGUUGUAUGACAUGUGUGAGUUCCAGCACAUUUUUUUUUAGAAAAAAAGCAUUGCUCACAACAAUAAGAAUUAUAUUUGCUUAGUGUGGAAAAAUGUCUAUUACCAGAAGAACAGAGGAUGUACUGGAGGAUCUAAUAUUGGAUUUAGUUUGAAGAAGCUUACAUGUGCCACAGAAUCACUAAUGGACUAAAUCAUCACGUUGUCUAUUAGGCACUUCAUUGUAAAAAUAGAAAAUUAAUAAAAUAUUUAUAUAAAAAA